AUGCCCCUCACUAGCAGCAGUUUAUCUCACAUAUCCCUACCCGGACCUGGCAUCAGGAGCCAAGCCGUAUCAACAAUCAACAGCAGACCUAAGAUCUUGGAGAAGAGGAUCCCCGGCAAUAACUCUCCUUUGACACAUAGGCGCUAUCAGCCCUUCUCUUAUGCCGGGUAUGGGGGAGGAGUAAUUUUUUCUGCCUGGAGCGAGCCAGUAUACGGAAAUGGUCUGACCAAGAGGCAUCGAUCUGGAGUGGGUCUUGCAUUGCCGGAUGACAGGAGCCCUUCCAAGGGAAAGGUGCUACACCCGUUCUUCCUUCCCUCUGAUGCUGCCCCCUAG